rnacentral:lncRNA from 1 species
UAGAACGCUACGUAAAUAAUUUUUAUAGCAUAAAAGCAAAAUAAAUUCCUACAUACAGUAGCACACGCAGCCAGGUAUUCAAAACAUUUAACAAUGACAUGUGGGCCCCCGAAUGACUAAAAGUAAUGAAGGUUGUGAACCUACAAUUUUUAAGGAUGCAAGUCCAACUGUAGCCAUCAACGAAAUGAGCUAUCUACUGACUAUCCUGAGCCUGAAAUGGGUGAAAAGGAGGGUGGUGAGAUUAUAUAAUCCCAGUGAGUAAACAAAUAUCAUCUAAAAUAUCUAAAGCUGAGUAAAUGGAGACAGAUUAAAUAGAUUAGCAUAAAAAUGAUUCACAGCAUUUCGAACUCAUUUUAAUAAGAUAAAAUAUAUUCAUUUCAACCAAAUAAACAACGAGGCUUACGAUUUCCUGAAAAGCUUGGCUUGUGCCAAAAUCAUUCUCAUACUUGGUUUUUAGGGAUACCUUGUCCUGGGGCUAUCCCAACCGAAUCCGCCAAGGCUAUUAAAAAGUCAUGUACGCAUAAAUCAUGUUUUUACUUUGAAAACAUAGCCAUUCCUUGACGUUGGCUGAGUUCACCUUCACGUGGUGGUUUGGCGUGAAGUGGACUCUAAAGUUUUACCUCAGGAGUUACCCUACGUGCCUCUUCAAUCGAGGUAAGAAUAUACUCGGAUUUCAUGCCCCUCAAAAAGGCUGAUCCACAGAACCCGCCAUUACAGUGACCAAUCUAUAACCCACCAAUUCAAUAAAAUUUAAUAGCAUGACAUGGCAAUUUUAUCAUUAUCCAGCCUAACAAGGCAAACAACAGUUUAUAAAUUUUCAACACAAAUACCCAUCCAGCCAUUCAAUUCAAAACAUAAUUUACAGUACAACAAGUAGUCUCCAAUUACUCCAUUUUCAAGUCAUCAUUAAAUUUCAAAACAAUUUAUAAAAUCAUUUCAUUUAAACACAUUUUCCAUAAAAUUACAAAAUCGGAUAAAAACAUACUUUAGAUAAUUAAGACGAUAAUAAGGUUACUCACUAUAAUGGAAAUCGAGUUUCGAGUACUCCGAUUCUUGAUCCUCGGGUACUAUCUCUUUACUUUUGCCAG